rnacentral:lncRNA from 1 species
UUUGGCCUUGGAGGGGAUGAAAAUGAAGGGCAGGGAGGAGUCGCGAGCGAACAAGCAGGAGGGUGUUCGACUGCUAGAGCUGAGCUAAGCGAUGCCUAAAUCAAAGGAACUUGUUUCUUCAAGCUCUUCUGGCAGUGAUCCUGACAGUGAGGUUGACAAAAAGUUAAAGAGGAAAAAGCAAGUUGCUCCAGAAAAACCUGUAAAGAAGCAAAAGACAGGUGAAACUUCGAGAGCUCUGUCAUCUUCUAAACAGAGCGGCAGCAGCAGAGAUGAUAACAAGUUUCAGAUUGGGAAAAUGAGGUACGUUAGCGUUGGAGAUUUUAAAGGGAAAGUGCUAAUUGAUACUAGAGAAUAUUGGAUGGAUCCUGAAGGCGAAAUGAAACCAGGAAGAAAAGGUAUUGCUUUAAAUCCAGAACAAUGGAGCCAGCUGAAGGAACAGAUUUCUGUCAUUGAUGAUGCAGUAAGAAAACUGUAAAAUCCGAGUCAUACAAACAAAACCUGUACUUUUCUAGUUGUUUUAAUCUGUCUUUUUACAUUGGCUUUUGUUUUCUAAAUGUUGUUCUCCAAGCAAUUGUAUGUUUGGAUUGCAGAAGAAUUUGUAAGAUGAACUUUUUUUUAAUGUGCAUUAUUAAAAAUGUUGAGUGAAGCAAUUGUCACCUUUAUUAAGGAGGAUUGCUUUGUGCCCACCACCUAGUGUAAAAUAAAAUCGAGCAAUACAGUCUUAAAUGUUGUGGCCUUUUUUGAUCAUAAGAGUUGGUACUGUUUAAGGCCAAAAGUAAUAGUUUUUAUAAAUCUUUUAGUCUCAACUCAGCUUUUACAAUAAAAAGGAUUUGUAUUGCAUUGAGUUUAUAAACUUUUGGUUUGUGAAAUCCAUAUUUGAUCUGUUUUCUUCCAAUCAAAUGUUUAUUUGGAAAGUCAGUGAAACUGUCAAAAUGUUACCUCAAUAAGAUAUUUAUAAUUGUAUGAGAACUACAAUCACCAAAUCGACUGUCUUCAGUAUUAGCAGAUCUAGUUUGAUAAACAAAUGGCUUGUGUGAAAACCGAGCAGGUGU